rnacentral:lncRNA from 1 species
CAUCCCAAGUGCGCCCUCUGCCCCAGGCUCGGCCAUGAGCCCCAGGCCCCUUGGACGUGAAGAGAGUGACUGGGGACAAAGAGACGCCCUCUUGGGCUCCCCAGUCCGUGCACCCUUCCUCCCCACCUGGGAACUCUAAGCCCUGGGCGGAGGCAUACCACACAUGGCCGCCUCCCUGACCCACUGAGCUUCCUGUAAGGUUUGGGGCGUUCGCUGAACUGUUACCUUGUGUCAACUUUUUUAUUUGUAUAUGGCAUCUCUGAAACUCAGCUAUACCCCUCACGGCUCAUCUCUGGGCUCAAGAUGAAAAAUAACACCUCCUGAAUGAAUGAAUAAACCCGUCAUGGUCACUCCCCUGGUCCACAAGGAGGAGCUGGGCCCUUAGGGGAUGUUUCCAUGGACUGAUCAACACUGGGGAAGCUUUUCAGAAAGCUGCAGUCAAGAGUUCUGGCCGUUCUAAAGAUGCCCCUGGGUCACUUACCUGUCUUUGGACAAGAAGAGACUCCAGCAGUGAUUUCAAGGCAAGGAAAUAUGGAAAGGGAGCAACGUUGAAAAUACUGAUUCAGGUUCUAGGACUGGGCAUGAAUUGGAGGAGGCUACAAUGAAAGAAGAAGACUUGAUCCCGGUGAUGUCAUUCGAGAGGGGGUGACAAAAGCCACUUGGCAGGGUCUUCACUAGAAUAGGUCAGACAACAGGUUCUGAACUGAAAUAUGUUGAUAUAGUCUAUGAGCAUGCUUAUUCUGAAUUAACACCAACCCCCAACAAAACAUAUAGACAGAAUCCUAAAAUGGACCCCUGUGGGUAGCAGCCUGUGCCGUUAAUGAAGCUGCUGUAGGGGUGGUCCUAUGCCU